GGGGUGGGAGCUAUAGCCAGGUAUGGGUCAAUGGAUGAUGACACAUGGGUCAAAAUUUAAAAAUGCUCUAGGCAUAUUGAAAAGUAUACCACAUUAUUUGUCUGAUCAUCAAGAUUCCAAAAAUGUAUAGUUUGGACUGUCUAUGUCUGAAUGUUAUGGAUUUAUGAGGUAAAAACAGCAAGAAUGGUGACAAAGGUCAGUUUCAGUUUGUACAGGGGUCAAAAAUUAAUGUUGCUUCAAUUUUGGUUAAAAGUGAUGCAAAUGUAUUGGUUUAGUUCAUACGGUUUUGUGGCUGUGGUGAUACACUGCACAGAUCCAUGCUGCCAGACCUGAACUGACAUGACCUACUUGAAAAAGUACUCUGGAGGAGCUCCAGCUGGGGCACUUUGACCAAAUGAGUCCACAGAGAGCUGAUGGUGUGUCCUCACUGAAUACAGCAGCACUGCAAGAAAGUUCUGUCACGUGAUACAAAUG